UGUUUUAUGUGUUUACUGAGUGGCCUG
rnacentral:sRNA from 1 species